AACUUUUAGAGGUCAGGUAGACAUAAACCAUUGGCCUUAGAAGCCAAACUCCU
rnacentral:tRNA from 1 species